rnacentral:lncRNA from 1 species
AUGCCCACCCCUCUCAAUGACCCCACUGGACAGAGGGGCUGCUUGGGACAGAGGGGCAGCUUCUCGGGACAGAGGGACAGCUGCUCGGGACAGAGGGACAGCUGCUCGGGACAGAGGGACAGCUGCUCGGGACAGAGGGACAGCUGCUCGGGACAGAGGGACAGCUGCUCGGGACAGAGGGACAGCUGCUCGGGACAGAGGGACAGCUGCUCGGGACAGAGGGACAGCUGCUCGGGACAGAGGGACAGCUGCUCCGGACAGAGGGACAGCUGCUCCGGGCGGAGGGGCUCUAGCGGCCCCUGGCUGACUGGCGGCACUGGCGGCCCCUGGCUGACUGGCGGCCCCUGGCUGACUGGCGGCACUGGCGGCCCCUGGUUGACUGGCGGCGCUGGCGCUGGGCUGACUGGCGGCACUGGCGGCCCCUGGUUGACUGGCGGCACUGGCGGCCCCUGGCUGACUGGCGGCACUGGCGGCCCCUGGCUGACGGGCGGCAUUGGCGGCUCCUGGCUGACGGGCGGCAUUGGCGGCUCCUGGCAGACGGGCGGCGCUGGGCAGACGGGCGGCGCUGGCGGCGCUGGGCAGACGGGCGGCGCUGGCGGCGCUGGGCAGACGGGCGGCGCUGGCGGCGCUGGGCAGACGGGCGGCGCUGGCGGCGCUGGGCAGACGGGCGGCGCUGGCGGCGCCGGGCAGACGGGAAGCUCCGAUGGCGCCGGGCAGACGGGAAGCUCCGGCAGAGGCGCCGGACAGGCGGGAGGCUCCGGCAGAGGCGCCGGACAGGCGGGAGGCUCCGGCAGAGGCGCCGGACAGGCGGGAGGCUCCGGCAGAGGCGCCGGACAGGCGGGAGGCUCCGGCAGAGGCGCCGGACAGGCGGGAGGCUCCGGCAGAGGCGCCGGACAGGCGGGAGGCUCCGGCAGAGGCGCCGGACAGGCGGGAGGCUCCGGCAGAGGCGCCGGACAGGCGGGAGGCUCCGGCAGAGGCGCCGGACAGGCGGGAGGCUCCGGCAGAGGCGCCGGACAGGCGGGAGGCUCCGGCAGCGCUGGAGAGGAGGAAGGCUCUGGACGGAUGGGCCGAAGAGACAGCCUAGUACGGGGAGCUGCCACCGGAGGGCUGGGGUGUGGAGGUGGUGACGGAUAG